GAUGAACGCUGGCGGCGUGCUUAACACAUGCAAGUCGAACGGAAAGGCCCUGCUUGCAGGGUACUCGAGUGGCGAACGGGUGAGUAACACGUGGGUGAUCUGCCCUGUACUUUGGGAUAAGCCUGGGAAACUGGGUCUAAUACCGAAUAUGACAAUUGUUUGGAUGCGAUUGUGGAAAGCUUUUGCGGUAUGGGAUGAGCUCGCGGCCUAUCAGCUUGUUGGUGGGGUAAUGGCCUACCAAGGCGUCGACGGGUAGCCGGCCUGAGAGGGUGUACGGCCACAUUGGGACUGAGAUACGGCCCAGACUCCUACGGGGGGCAGCAGUGGGGAAUAUUGCACAAUGGGCGCAAGCCUGAUGCAGCGACGCCGCGUGGGGGAUGACGGCCUUCGGGUUGUAAACUCCUUUCGCAACCGACGAAGCCUUUUGGUGACGGUAGGUUGAGAAGAAGCACCGGCUAACUACGUG
rnacentral:rRNA from 1 species